AGCUCGGCCGUUUAACCCAUUGCACCACCAAGUUAAUGGAAUGCAAAUUAAUUUUGCACUUUGGACUCAGUAGGUAUUGAAGAAAGGAAGAAAGCAGGGAUAGGUAAGAGAAACUUAACCAUUUUAAGAGCAGCUGAAACAAUGGGAUGAAUAAGAAGACUAUUCAAGGCUAUCUCUACCAAAUCAGGAUAUUUGGAAGAAUCUAGGGUAUUUCUACAAGUGAUGAAGGUCUGUUCUGCUGGUGAUUGGGUUGCAGCUGGAUGAUGUCUCCAGAUCCCCUUCUGCCAGAAUUUUGUGAAGCAGAAUCAGAAGUCAACCCUUACUGCAAUUCUUUCUUGUACCACCGAUCUCUGGUUGGACAGUGCUGUGAAAGCUCCUGUGUUUAUCUUGCCCUGUGAAAAGACAGACCACAAACUGGGGGCAAUGCUUGAAACUGCUACUUUUGCCCUUUGCUUUUGCAAGAUAAACAUUGAGAUUCUCACUGCAAAGGAAGUAUUUAAUAAAGUCUAAAAGAGUGCCUUGAAGAAAAAGAUUUUAAAAUGAAUCCCAUCACUUCCACUUUAAAGACGGGAUGAUUUCUGAUGAUUAGUUGAAGCAACAGCAAAUGUAAUUUGGGGUUUCUGUAAAAGAGACAACAAACCUUGAAAGUAAGGCAAUCUUCCUCUUAUUAGAAGCUGUACAGUCACGUCAUCUACAGGAAGAGAAGUUCAGAAUGCAAAU